ensembl:lncRNA
GUAACUGACACACUCUCAAACACAUCCGCAGGUAACUGACACACUCUCAAACACACCCGCAGGUAACCGAAACACCUUCAAACACAUCCGCAGGUAACUACACACUCUCAAACACAUCCGCAGGUAACUAACACACUCUCAAACACAUCCGCAGGUAACUAACACACUCUCAAACACAUCCGCAGGUAACUAACACACUCUCAAACACAUCCGCAGGUAACCGAAACACCUUCAAACACAUCCGCAAGUAACUAACACACUCUCGGACAUCCGAAGGUAACCAACACACUCUCGGACAUCCGAAGGUAACCGACAUGAACUCAAAUUCGUCUGCAGGUCACCGAGGGAAACGCCCCGUUAUUUGCAACAGUGUCGAGUUUUCAAAAGAUAGAAUAAAUCAAACAUCUGAGGCACUUA